CUCUCUCUCUCUCUCUCUCUCUCUCGAAAGCUUUUAUCUUCCUUGUUUAGCUUUCUUUCUUUCCUUCUCUUUCUUUCUUUCUUUCUUCUUUUCUUUCUUUCAAGAAUCAAAUGGAAAUGGAAGAUCAAAAUCACCAUAAUCAGUAUAGCAUAGAUCUCAGGCAAUUCAUCAGCGGGAGGCCAACCCACUUCCCUGCAAUCCCACAGCCACCUUCAGCUGAGCUCUUCUCUGCCCACAGGAAUCUGCCACCACAGGCCCACCACUACGACAUGAUGAUGCUGAUGUCGCGGGGUGGUGGUUUACACGACUUCCACUCGGAUUCUACUACUGCUUCUUGUGUCCUUCCUCCUCCUCCUCCUCCUCCUCCUGCUCCUCCUGCUGCUGCUGCUGCUAAUAGUGGUAAUACCAGUGUCGCUGCAGCUUCUGCUACCCCAACGCUAAGUGGGUUAGAGGCUGAGGUAGGCUCUUUUGGUGGUGAUGGUGGCACUGGAAGGUGGCCUCGACAAGAGACUUUAACACUUCUUGAGAUCAGAUCUCGUCUUGAUUCCAAGUUUAAGGAGGCUAAUCAAAAGGGUCCUUUGUGGGAUGAGGUUUCUAGGAUCAUGUCUGAGGAGCAUGGGUAUCAGAGAAGUGGCAAGAAAUGCAGGGAAAAGUUUGAAAACUUGUACAAGUACUACAAGAAGACUAAGGAAGGAAAAGCAGGAAGACAAGAUGGUAAGCACUAUAGAUUCUUUAGGCAACUUGAAGCUCUUUAUGGAGAGACAAACAAUCCUGCCUCAUUUCCAGAAACCCAAUUUGUUGGAAGUAGUCAUCGAUUUCACACAGGUACUCAAGCAAACAAUGAGAUCUUUCAUUCUCAAAAGCUUUGUAAUAGUCAUAGUCUCUCCAACUCCUCCGAAUUCGAUACCUCUUCUUCUGAGGACAAUGAUCUAAGCACGGCUACAUUAGUGGAGAAUGAUUCAACAGAAAAGAGAAGGAAGAGAAGAGAUGGAAAGAGCUGGAAGGCAAAGAUAAAAGACUUUAUCGAUUCGCAGAUGAGGAAGCUAAUUGAGAGGCAAGAGGCAUGGUUGGAGAAAUUGACAAAGACCAUGGAGCAAAAGGAGCAAGAGAGAACUUUCAGAGAGGAAGAAUGGAAGAAACAAGAAGCUGCCAGGUUAGAUAGAGAGCAGAAGUUUUGGGCUAAGGAGCGAGCCUGGAUNUGAUGCUGCUUUAAUGGAAACCUUGCGAAAAUUAACAGGAAGAGAAACAAAUGCUUCGUCUCCCGAAGAACUGAUGAGGGCUCAUGAGAUUCAAAAUCAAAGAGAAAAUGGGAUUGAAAAUGGAAGUGAAAGAGCACAAUGCGAUAGCUGGACAGAAGCAGAAGUUACAAGACUAGUGCAAUUGAGAAGUAACAUGGGAUCAAGGUUUCAGCAAAAUGGGUGCAUGGAGGAGGAGGAGGCUUUAUGGGAGGACAUAUCUGCA
rnacentral:misc_RNA from 1 species